rnacentral:rRNA from 1 species
UACAGAGGUCCCAAGCGUUGUUCGGAUUCACUGGGCGUAAAGGGUGCGUAGGUGGCGAGGCAAGUCGGAUGUGAAAGCUCGGAGCUCAACUCCGAAAUGGCAUUGGAAACUACCUUGCUCGAGGGUUGGAGGGGGGACUGGAAUACUUGGUGUAGCAGUGAAAUGCGUAGAUAUCAGGAGGAAUACCGAUGGCGAAGGCAGGUCUCUGGGCUGACACUGACGCUCAUGCACGAAAGCGUGGGGAGCAAACAGG